rnacentral:misc_RNA from 1 species
CUGAGUUAGGGUCUUCCAUGGCCCGACCUCCCAACCCACUGUCUAAUUAUACCAAUUGUUGCUUCGGCGGGACGGUCUUCCCAGAUCGCCGGAGGGUGCAACCGCCCCUCUGGAGAGUGCCCGCCGACGGCCCAAUCUCAAAAACUCUUGAACUCAACCGUGAUGCCUAAAUCGACCUUUUGUAUAAUUACAAAAAACA